GAUGAACGCUGGCGGCGUGCCUAAUACAUGCAAGUCGAGCGAACGGACGAGAAGCUUGCUUCUCUGAUGUUAGCGGCGGACGGGUGAGUAACACGUGGAUAACCUACCUAUAAGACUGGGAUAACUUCGGGAAACCGGAGCUAAUACCGGAUAAUAUUUUGAACCGCAUGGUUCAAAAGUGAAAGACGGUCUUGCUGUCACUUAUAGAUGGAUCCGCGCUGCAUUAGCUAGUUGGUAAGGUAACGGCUUACCGAGGCAACGAUGCAUAGCCGACCUGAGAGGGUGAUCGGCCACACUGGAACUGAGACACGGUCCAGACUCCUACGGGAGGCAGCAGUAGGGAAUCUUCCGCAAUGGGCGAAAGCCUGACGGAGCAACGCCGCGUGAGUGAUGAAGGUCUUCGGAUCGUAAAACUCUGUUAUUAGGGAAGAACAUAUGUGUAAGUAACUGUGCACGUCUUGACGGUACCUAAUCAGAAAGCCACGGCUAACUACGUG
rnacentral:rRNA from 1 species